CCUACGGGAGGCAGCAGUGAGGAAUAUUGGUCAAUGGUCGGGAGACUGAACCAGCCAAGCCGCGUGAGGGAUGAAGGUACAGAGUAUCGUAAACCUCUUUUGUCAGGGAACAAAGGCGGGGACGUGUCCCCGGAUGAGUGUACCUGAAGAAAAAGCAUCGGCUACCUCCGUGCCAGCAGCCGCGGUAAUACGGAGGAUGCGAGCGUUAUCCGGAUUUAUUGGGUUAAAGGGGUGCGCAGGCGGUCUGUUAAGUCAGCGGUAAAAGCCCGGGGCGCAACCCCGGCCCGCCGUUGAAACUGGCAGUCUCGAGUUGGAGAGAAGUAUGCGGAAUGCGCGGUGUAGCGGUGAAAUGCAUAGAUAUCGCGCAGAACUCCGAUUGCGAAGGCAGCAUGCCGGCUCCACACUGACGCUGAGGCACGAAAGCGUGGGUAUCGAACAGGAUUAGAUACCCGGGUAGUC
rnacentral:rRNA from 1 species